rnacentral:rRNA from 1 species
GGAUUAGAUACCCUGGUAGUCCACGCCGUAAACGAUGAGCACUAGUUGUUGUGGGUAUUGACCCCUGCAGUGACGACGCUAACGCAUUAAGUGCUCCGCCUGGGGACUACGGCCGCAAGGCUAAAACUCAAAGGAAUUGACGGGGGCCCGCACAAGCGGUGGAGUAUGUGGUUUAAUUCGACGACGCGCAGAACCUUACCCGGUCUUGACAUUGCGAGAAAGCCUGCAGAAAUGCAGGCCCCCACCUUCGGGUGGCUCAAAAACAGGUGCUGCAUGGCUGUCGUCAGCUCGUGCUG